rnacentral:rRNA from 1 species
GCGGUCUCCUCCCAAAGCGUAACGGAGGAGCACGAAGGUUAGCUAAUCCUGGUCGGACAUCAGGAGGUUAGUGCAAUGGCAUAAGCUAGCUUGACUGCGAGCGUGACGGCGCGAGCAGGUGCGAAAGCAGGUCAUAGUGAUCCGGUGGUUCUGAAUGGAAGGGCCAUCGCUCAACGGAUAAAAGGUACUCCGGGGAUAACAGGCUGAUACCGCCCAAGAGUUCAUAUCGACGGCGGUGUUUGGCACCUCGAUGUCGGCUCAUCACAUCCUGGGGCUGAAGUAGGUCCCAAGGGUAUGGCUGUUCGCCAUUUAAAGUGGUACGCGAGCUGGGUUUAGAACGUCGUGAGACAGUUCGGUCCCUAUCUGCCGUGGGCGCUGGAGAAUUGAGGGGGGCUGCUCCUAGUACGAGAGGACCGGAGUGGACGCAUCACUGGUGUUC